rnacentral:rRNA from 1 species
GAUGAACGCUGGCGGCGUGCCUAACACAUGCAAGUCGAACGGAGAUUACGUACGGAAGUUUUCUGAUGGAAGACUGUAAUUCUUAGUGGCGGACGGGUGAGUAACGCGUGGGCAACCUGCACUAUCCAGGGGGAUAGCAGCUUGAAACGGCUGUUAUGACCGCAUAAGUCGGCGAGACCGCAUGGUUUUCCCGGGAGAUGAGCAAUCAGGUAUAGGAUGGGCCCGCGUCAGAUUAGCCAGUUGGCAGGGUAAAAGCCUACCAAAGCAACGAUCGGUAGCCGGACUGAGAGGUCGGACGGCCACAUUGGGAAUGAGACACGGCCCAAAAUGCGACGGGAGGGAGAAGAGGGGGAUAUUGCACAAGGGAGGAAAAUCUGAUGAAGCGACGCGGGGGAAGUGAAGAAGUAGGUCGGUAUGUAAAGCUGUAUGAGAAGGGAAGAGGAUGACGGUACCUGACGAAGAAGCCCCGGCUAACUACGUG